rnacentral:rRNA from 1 species
UACACUCCUACGGGAGGCAGCAGUGGGGAAUAUUGGACAAUGGGCGCAAGCCUGAUCCAGCCAUGCCGCGUGAGUGAUGAAGGCCCUAGGGUUGUAAAGCUCUUUCACCGGUGAAGAUAAUGACGGUAACCGGAGCAGAAGCCCCGGCUAACUUCGUGCCAGCAGCCGCGGUAAUACGAAGGGGGCUAGCGUUGUUCGGAUUUACUGGGCGUAAAGCGCACGUAGGCGGACUAUUAAGUCAGGGGUGAAAUCCCGGGGCUCAACCCCGGAACUGCCUUUGAUACUGGUAGUCUUGAGUUCGAGAGAGGUGAGUGGAAUUCCGAGUGUAGAGGUGAAAUUCGUAGAUAUUCGGAGGAACACCAGUGGCGAAGGCGGCUCACUGGCUCGAUACUGACGCUGAGGUGCGAAAGCGUGGGGAGCAAACAGGAUUAGAAACCCCAGUAGUCCCA